rnacentral:rRNA from 1 species
AUUAACGCUAGCGGCAGGCAUAAUACAUGCAAGUUGAACGGCAGCACAGGUAGCAAUACUGGGUGGCGAGUGGCGCACGGGUGCGUAACACGUAUGCAACCUACCCUAUACAGGCGAAUAACCUUUAGAAGUGAGGGCUAAUACGCCGUAGUAUUACAGAUGGGCAUCUAUUUGUAAUUAAAGAUUUAUCGGUAUAGGAUGGGCAUGCGUCCCAUUAGUUAGUUGGUAAGGUAACGGCUUACCAAGACGAUGAUGGGUAGGGG